rnacentral:lncRNA from 1 species
UAGUUCGCCGUUCGCCACGGAAACAACACGCACUCCUCUGUUCCUGCAACUGCAACACGCACAGUCACAUACACGCACUCACUGUGACACCAGCCGUCGUCCCCUCACCAAUGGCAACGGCGGAGCUCGUGGCACGCACACGCGGGUCACCCGCGGCACUUAUCGUAGUAAAAGCACGGCCGGGUGUAGGACGCGCCCUGGGCAGCGCAGCCGCCGCCGCACGCCUGCCUGUUCUUGUUUAGCGUGUCGUAGUUGAUGUAGCGUUGGUCCGCCGCCAGCAGGCUGCCGAACUCCGGCGCCACCGCCUCCUCCAGGCGGCGCCGCUGCCACUUGCUGAUAGGAGCAGCACCAGUAGCGGCGGUGGCCACCCUUGUCCCACGGCCGUGGAUGGUGACCACCCUGACGCCGCCGCCGUAGUCGUCGCUCAUGGCGGCGGCCGCCGGGCAGGAGAAGGGGGAGAGGAGAAGGGCGAUGGCCGCGAGGAGGAGGACGGCGAGGGGCAGCUUGCUGCCCGGCAUUGUGAACCACCGGCUUGGUUUGCUU